UACGUAGGGGGCUAGCGUUGUCCGGAAUCAUUGGGCGUAAAGCGCGUGUAGGCGGCCCGGUAAGUCCGCUGUGAAAGUCGGGGGCUCAACCCUCGGAUGCCGGUGGAUACUGUGGGGCUAGAGUCCGGAAGAGGCGAGUGGAAUUCCUGGUGUAGCGGUGGAAUGCGCAGAUAUCAGGAGGAAUACCCAUAGCGAAGGCAGCUCGCUGGGACGUUACUGACGCUGAGGCGCGAAAGCGUGGGGAGCGAACAGG
rnacentral:rRNA from 1 species